CAGGCACCAUCAGGGAAAAGGAGAGAGAGAAGGCUGAGCCCAGAAAUGACCCACCAUUCUAUGAUUAAAGAAACCCUGCCCCAAAGACACGCUCUAGUUUAUUCAAAGCUGGGAAAAGGAAAUCCCAUAAACAUUUGAUGUCUCCUCUCCUUCCUCCCACUUUCCUCCCAAGGAUAUAAUAGAAUUCAGAUCAUGCAACAUCAUGCCCCUGGAAGAAAGCAAUGGAAAGACCGACUGGGAAAAACCUCCUGAAAAUCACGGGAUCUUUUUAUCCUGUUGGCAGCUAAAACCUUCCAGAUCUAAGGUUUCCUCCAUUAGAAGGAAAGCUCCUUGGGGUCAAGAUUUCUCUGACCUUUCCAUUUGUAACUCAGCCUUAGCAGAUCUGCCAGAAAUCUGAUGUUGUCUUUGGGAGAGCAGAAAGACAUCUUCAUGAAUAUGAAAACCCCCAUCUCUUUGACUCAGAUAUUGAGUGGCAAGAUCAGUUGGGAUCUGUUGACUUCAACCAUCUGAGACAUCUGAGACUUCAUUAUGCAAGACGCUGAAGGGAUUGGAUACCAUAAAACGCUUGUCUGGAU
rnacentral:lncRNA from 1 species